UAGAAACAAUCUGUUUGCGAUUGGUCAAUCUGUAAAAUUAGCAAAUGUGGAAAAUACAUAAGAUAUACAAGACAGUCACCAAAUACAAACAAACAAACAACAAAAAACAACAAAAAAACACACACAUAUGCACCAUCAAAUUAGACUGUCAAUAUUGAUAACAGCAGUGAGAAACUGUAUACAUUUUAUGAAUAAUUAUAUGAAAUACAGAAUCUAUAAAACUAGAGGAAAUGAGGAAGUCUGGAAAGGUCGACAUAUCCGUUUGCAUCAGUUAUUGGGUUGUUCACUAACCUUGUGGAUCGAUUAUUUCUUGGUCCCCGAAUAACAAAGUGAAGCAAAAAAUGCAUUUAACCAUUUGAUUUUAAAAUUUGAGCUCGUGGUAUUUCUAGCUAUGAACGAGAUUCACCAUAAUGUUUCCCGGGGAAAAUGAUUUUUAUUUCUUCCGAUGCUUAUAAUCAUUAUUUCAAACUGAAAAUUAUCGAUAUAUUACCUACUGCAUGCUAAUGAAUUUGGAAAAAAAACUGGUUAACGAAGAGACACCGAGAAAAUUCAAGGCGAAAAAUGAUGACUCAUAAUAUCAAAUAACUUUAUAUUUGUACUUAAAUAAUAACAGCGAGGUUCCUUAAAACAAGUUUUAUUAGAGUCAUAUCUAUACGAAUAAUAAAAAUCCACACAGCAUACACAUACAUAUAGAAUGAUGACAUUUUUGUUUUUGAAACUGACUUUAUCACCAAGAAUAUCAAGCGAGCCCGCUAAGGCGAGCUGAUAUUCGAGCUGAUGGUCAGUAUAAAAAAAAAACAUUAUUCUUUUUAUCGGCAAUUUGUUUUAACUGGAUGUCUUAUUUUUGGUUGAGAAUAUGAAGUAAAAUGAUAUAGUAAGUAAAACUACUUCUAUGCGUACAAAAAGUUGGACUAGACUUGUUCGGUUGUAUUCGUGAAUGAAAUCGAUGCGGAUGGAUUUGAGCACGUGACGUUGCUGCACUGAUACAUGACGGCAUUGUCUAGUAUUUUCGAGUAUCAAGUCCUGUCCAUGUUCUUAAAAAUAUUAGGCAGUAUAAGAUCAAAGGGAAAAUGUACAAAUUGCCGAUAAAUACAUUAAAUAUGCCAUUCUGAUACUACAGGUAAUGGUAUUAUUUGUUUUUUUUUUUUAACAUACAAACAUUAUAAUACGGUAACUUUAUUUCGGUUUUUAUUCCUUUUAACUUACCUGUAGUUGAAACUACUUUUAAUAUUCAAUUAUCUAUACUUUUAUAUUUAUACUGAUCGGUAGUGGUUGCAUGAUGUAUAGACGUUUCAGGCAUUGCAUGUAUCUCUACAUUUCCUCUAUCAACUAUAUUCUCCUCAAUUUUUAACAUGUUAACUUUGCUACUUGCAGAUGUCCAUCAUAAGACGCUUUCGACAAAUUUGAAGAUACUGUUUUCAUUAAUUGUUCAAAAUUUUAUUUCUUUGUCAUUUUUCGGCCACUAAACCUCCAAAUUUAUUUAAUAUUUUCAAGUCUGAUAACAAAUGAGAUUGUUCGUUGUCCACCAAUCCUGAUCUUGUGCUAGUAAUCACAUGUUCUUUAGGCCAAAGUACAGAACACGAUAUGUAUGAUCAUGUAAGAUGUACUGUUCCAGUUUUGUUAAUGUUUUCUCUGGUUAUUCUCUAUUUUUUUUUUUAGUAUAUAUUCCGAUUAACAUCUUUUCAAUGAACGCCCUUUUCUUUUUCUUUUCUUAAUUCAUAUGUUUUCUUCAAGAUAAAAAGUAUCAUUGUCAUUCAUUAAUUGCUAAAUUCUGUUUUGGAAAAGGAUUACACGAGGAACGGGGAAGUUUUGAAGAAAUUAGAAAAUAUAAAUAAUUGAGUAUUUUAAAACUCUGUACCUUCAAUUACUCUUUUUCUUUAUUCAUGCUGACCUAAUACUUUGACAUAUAUUUCAAAUGGGAAGUCGGUGUGUUGAGACAAAUGUAAAUUCGCUACCGAUUUCUGGUGUUGUAUGUCUCUAGCUAGAUAGUCUGGUAUAAUAAAAAUAUGCACACAGUUCUCUCAUUCAGCCAUUAUGGAAGUCGUUUUUCCCGACUUACUGUUAAAUCAUGUACGUUCUGACUUGCCAGUUACUAUUUUACAACUCUGUCAUAUCCAAGAUUGGAUCCAGGAGUCAUAUUUGAUUGUAUUCUGUGACUUAUUCUGAAUUGAUGUCGAUGGGUUUAAAUUUUGUAACUUACAAAAAUAAUGUUUUCAUAAUCAUUCUGUUUUAAGAAGAUGAUUAUUUAUAAAUCGAACAAAAGGGGGAAGUGGGGGUAUGUAUAUGUUUAACAUUCAACAGGAAUUGACAAAAAAGACAUAAUGGUUUCUAUAUCGUGCAAAACUCCACUUAAAAUAUAAAUCAGUUUCCCGAAUAAUGUCCUCAAUAAUUCUUAAACGUCCACAAAAAAAACAUUGGGAGGUAUACUGUUCUCCAGUAUUCAUACGAGUGGUCUGCGUUUUAUAACAUUGGGUGGUAUACUGUUCUCCAGUUUUCAUACGAAUGGUCUGCGUUUUAUGGCAUUGGGAGGUAUACUGUUCUCCAGUUUUCAUACGAGUGGUCUGCGUUUUAUAACAUUGGGAGGUAUACUGUUCUCCAGUUUUCAUACGAGUGGUCUGCGUUUUAUAACAUUGGGAGGUAUAUUGCUCUCCAGUUUUCAUACGAGUGGUCUGCGUUUUAUAACAUUGGGAGGUAUACUGUUCUCCAGUUUUCAUACGAGUGGUCUGCGUUUUAUAACAUUGGGAGGUAUACUGUUCUCCAGUUUUCAUACGAGUGGUCUGCGUUUUAUAACAUUGGGAGGUAUAAUGUUCUCCAGUUUUCAUACGAGUGGUCUGCGUUUUAUAACAUUGGGAGGUAUACUGUUCUCCAGUUUUCAUACGAGUGGUCUGCGUUUUAUAACAUUGGGAGGUAUAAUGUUCUCCAGUUUUCAUACGAGUGGUCUGCGUUUUAUAACAUUGGGAGGUAUAUUGCUCUCCAGUUUUCAUACGAGUGGUCUGCGUUUUAUAACUUGAGUAAUCCAAGUUUUUGACAACUACUUGGUUAUGUGUUUUCGGACCACUAGGAAUUAGUUUCAUUAUAGAGUAGAAUCCUGUUAAAGCCCUUACUUGCAGCGGACUUGAUUAGAUUUGUUUUCGUCAAUCAAAACUUUGAUUUAAACUCGGUAUCACCCUCCCACCCCCCGCGACUCUUAGACCCCAUGGAACAAACAUGGCGAUGCCCUUAAGGGGAAAUCAUAAGAUUAGUAUGUACUUAGUUCGUAAGUUUGAAGGUACAAAAUUUUCAGAGUCACAUUUGGUAAGCACUUUCUACUCUUGGAUCCAUUCUUGAUACAUGUAGAUACUAAUAUCCUGCUUUGUAUAUUGUAACCUUGGCUUUC